AACGAACGCUGGCGGCAUGCCUAACACAUGCAAGUCGAACGAGACCUUCGGGUCUAGUGGCGCACGGGUGCGUAACGCGUGGGAACCUGCCCUUAGGUUCGGAAUAACUCCCCGAAAGGGGUGCUAAUACCGGAUAAUGUCUUCGGACCAAAGAUUUAUCGCCUUUGGAUGGGCCCUCGUUGGAUUAGCUAGUUGGUAGGGUAAAAGCCUACCAAGGCGACGAUCCAUAGCUGGUCUGAGAGGAUGAUCAGCCACACUGGGACUGAGACACGGCCCAGACUACUACGGGAGGCAGCAGUGGGGAAUAUUGGAAAAUGGGCGAAAGCCUGAUCAAGCAAUGACGCGUGAGUGAUGAAGGCAUUAGGGUUGUAAAGCUCUUUUACCCGGGAAGAUAAUGACAGUACCGGGAGAAUAAGCACCGGCUAACUCCGUG
rnacentral:rRNA from 1 species